rnacentral:miRNA from 1 species
UAACUGAAUACAUUGGAUUCAUUUCUGUGAAAGUGGAUUUUGUGGCCUGUCCAAGAAACGGAUCAGGGAUUAUCAGCUG